GUUUGAUCAUGGCUCAGAUUGAACGCUGGCGGAAUGCUUUACACAUGCAAGUCGAACGGUAGAGGGGGCAACCCCUUGAGAGUGGCGAACGGGUGAGUAAUAUAUCGGAACGUGCCCAGUCGUGGGGGAUAACGUAGUGAAAAUUACGCUAAUACCGCAUACGAUCUAAGGAUGAAAGCGGGGGAUCGCAAGACCUCGCGCGACUGGAGCGGCCGAUAUCAGAUUAGGUAGUUGGUAGGGUAAAGGCCUACCAAGCCAACGAUCUGUAGCUGGUCUGAGAGGACGACCAGCCACACUGGAACUGAGACACGGUCCAGACUCCUACGGGAGGCAGCAGUGGGGAAUUUUGGACAAUGGGCGAAAGCCUGAUCCAGCCAUUCCGCGUGCAGGAUGAAGGCCCUCGGGUUGUAAACUGCUUUUGUACAGAACGAAAAGGUCUCUAUUAAUACUAGGGGCUCAUGACGGUACUGUAAGAAUAAGCACCGGCUAACUACGUGCCAGCAGCCGCGGUAAUACGUAGGGUGCAAGCGUUAAUCGGAAUUACUGGGCGUAAAGCGUGCGCAGGCGGUUAUAUAAGUCAGAUGUGAAAUCCCCGGGCUCAACCUGGGAACUGCAUUUGAGACUGUAUAGCUAGAGUACGGUAGAGGGGGAUGGAAUUCCGCGUGUAGCAGUGAAAUGCGUAGAUAUGCGGAGGAACACCGAUGGCGAAGGCAAUCCCCUGGACCUGUACUGACGCUCAUGCACGAAAGCGUGGGGAGCAAACAGGAUUAGAUACCCUGGUAGUCCACGCCCUAAACGAUGUCAACUGGUUGUUGGGUCUUAACUGACUCAGUAACGAAGCUAACGCGUGAAGUUGACCGCCUGGGGAGUACGGCGCAGGGUUGAAACUC
rnacentral:rRNA from 1 species